rnacentral:rRNA from 1 species
GACGAACGCUGGCGGCGUGCCUAAUACAUGCAAGUAGAACGCACAGUUUAUACCGUAGCUUGCUACACCAUAAACUGUGAGUUGCGAACGGGUGAGUAACGCGUAGGUAACCUGCCUGGUAGCGGGGGAUAACUAUUGGAAACGAUAGCUAAUACCGCAUAAUAUUAAUUAUUGCAUGAUAAUUGAUUGAAAGAUGCAAUUGCAUCACUACCAGAUGGACCUGCGUUGUAUUAGCUAGUAGGUGAGGUAACGGCUCACCUAGGCGACGAUACAUAGCCGACCUGAGAGGGUGAUCGGCCACACUGAGACUGAGACACGGCACAGACGCCUACGGGAGGCAGCAGGAGGGAAUCUUCGGCAAUGGACGAAAGUCUGACCGAGAAACGCCGCGUGAGUGAAGAAGGUUUUCGGAUCGGAAAGCUCGGUUGUAAGAGAAGAACGGGUGUGAGAGUGGAAAGUUCACACUGUGACGGUAUCUUACCAGAAAGGGACGGCUAACUACGUG